rnacentral:rRNA from 1 species
UUCCAGCUCCAAUAGCGUAUAUUAAAUUUGCUGCAGUUAAAAAGCUCGUAGUUGGAUGUGUGGUGUGGUGCGUCUGGUCGCCUGCGAGCAAUCGUGGGUGUGUACCGGUGUGCGUGCCUGCCAUUCGGGUUUGUUGUACAUCGAAAGGUGUAUGGUAAGCCCCGUUUACUUUGAGUAAAUUAGAGUGUUCCAAGCAGGCGAUGGUGCCGUGAAUACAUGAGCAUGGAAUAAUGAGAUAGGACUCGGGUUC